rnacentral:siRNA from 1 species
UGGAAGUGCACAGUUAAUCGUC